UGACCCUGCAUGGUGCACUGCAGCUAUGGAACCCAGAAUUCUGGAAAUAAAAAAAUCCUCAUGCUAUUGCAUGGAGACCGUUUCUCGUGAGUGAUUUGGGUGUCGCCUUCCGGGGCGUGGGGUGCUGGGGCACCCUCGGUUUUUGGGGGUCUUACAUUUCUUGGUGCGUUGGCCGGGAAGUGCGAUUUCCCUUCACACGUGAGAACCAACUCGGAGGUAAAGGGGAUCCCCUUUGGAAUGUGUGUGUGCCAGCGAUGUUUUCGUUCUAAAUGUCCUGAGUGUUUUGAGAGCGGCGCCGCUGUGUCUGUGUUUUUGGUUUCGAUUUGCAUGUAAUAAAGCAGACGUGGAACCCUGCUCUUGCAGCUGCCGCUGUGGCCCGUGAGGACCCAGUGGCUGCGGAAAGGAGACGCCCUAAGACUGCAGGCUGUAGCCCCGAAGGAUGCUUCGAGGGUUAGGGACAAUCAGGAGAGCCUGAUUGUCGUUUUUUUGGGAUGAAGGGGACAGAGUGCUCCUUCUACUGGAAAAAACGUGGAUGGGGAAUCCUGCAAGGUCACGUGACUCAAGCACGCCAACUUAGAACAAAAGGAGAGACAAAAUACUUGGGCUCUGAUGCCCCCUGAAAAGGAAAAGAAGUCUUAACAAGCAAUGUGGCAGGUAUGAGAAUUUUGGGUUUAAGUUGGUACAAAUGGUUUAUUUCUUUUAUUUUAACUUGUUUAAAUUGCUCUGCUCAAUGUGAUGUUAAACUUUGUGGUUAUAUUGUUCCUCUGGGAGAGAGGUCAAAAUAAGGGAGACCUCCAGAAGACUAGAUUCUAAAAUAUUAAGUGAAAAAAGUCUGUCUUUGUGAUACUAAAAUCUUUAUAAUUGUUAUUAAGUUCAAGGCAUAAGUUCUUAUUUGAUACAGGUUUUAUUUUGAUACAAAAUCAAGGUUUUCACUGGUAUAAAUACUAAAAAUUUAGAAGUACAGUAUUUACACCCAGUUCUUUGUUAUUAUUUCUGAUCUAAGAUGUGUUUAAGUCUAUGAGUUUAGGGCUAAAUAAAAAUAUAAGGCUCUGAGUUUAUUAUUAGGGUGUUUUCUAGGUUUUAAUCAGAAAUAGCUGAAGAUAGUUUAAUAGACAACAGUCCACAUUGCUUUACAUAGAUAGUUGGUUUUUAAAAAUGUCAAAAAUCCAUGGUAUAUGAUGUUUAUGUCUUAAAAGCUAUGUAAAGCUUUCUAUAUGUUUUCAGUUAAUAUUGGUCACUCUUAGAUUUCUGAUGGGGUUAAAGACUGUUAGUCUCACAGACAGCCCAAGUUGUUUAAUCUUGAGAAAACUGAUAUAGAUUUGAAUGAUUUUCAGGUGACAUAAAAUUUAAAGCCAGGACAUAAGUCAAUUCUUACAAUGUUAAUUCUUAAGUUGUAUUGCCAUAUUCCUAAGCCAUAUUAGGGAGUCAGGCCUCAUGGUGGGAACUUGACUUUGGUCAAGGACAAUCCCUGGCUUCGGGCAGGAAUCUGACCUUAGGGCAGAAUACAGAAGUAGGUUACAGUAAGAAUUUUAUCCUUGGGUGGAGAAGCUCAGUGCAGGUUGAGCACAUUGUUCUUCCUGGGCUACAAAUUCCUGAAUUAAGCAGGUGACCCACCCAGCAGUAGUCAAAAACCACCAGAUGAGUUCACUGGAACUCAGCCUAGGGUCUUGGGGGGAGGGUGUGCCCAAACUGUUAAAGUUCUGACUGACAUUAAAGUUCCAGCAAUCCAGUUCAUAGUAUAGGCAGGCAGCUAUGGAAUGCAACAUUGUUAAUUCUGACAGUCUUUUAAGAUAAUACAGAUGAAAAGGGUUCUGUUUAAUUGACAGGGAUGAUAAACUAGGUGUUAUGUCUAUGUUAUAAUUUAUAAUUUACAAAAUGGUAAUAAUUAUGCUCAAUUGAUAUUUAGAGAGUACCUGAGACCACCUAUCCUGAUACCAUGGUAGCUCUCUCACUAAGGGUAUAUUUCCCAAGAGACUAAUUAAUCUCUUUGAGACUGUUUUAUUUGUAAUACAGGAGGCCAAAAAGAUUACCCUCAGACAAAAGGUAAGAGGCAUCUGACAGACCAACACCAGACUCCAUUGGCAGGUCUCGAGGGCAUGGCAGCCCACGAAUUUGACCAAGGUAUAUAAGGUUGAGCAGGUACCAGAUGAGUCACUGCAGCUUUUUUAGAGCAGCUCAUAGAGGCAUUCUGCCAAUAUACAUGCUAUGAAUCCAGGGGCUUGGAAUAUAAAGCUACUAUGACAAUGGCUCUUAGAGACAGGGCUAGUAGAGAUAUCAGAAAAGAGCUUCGGAGGCUAGAGGGAUUUGGUGCAGGUUGCUGAGAAAGUCUAUAAAAAGAUUUAGUAGUGUAGGUUAUCGAGAAAGUCUGUAGAGAGAUUUAGUAGUUUGCUGAGACAGGGAGACAGAGGAGGAGAAGAAACAGAGAAAAAGAAAGUGACAGAGAAGGAAGGAAGCAACAGAGAAUUCUAGAUAUGAUAGUUUAGAAAGGCAGAAAAGGGAGACAGAAAAGGACCAAUAUGCAUACUAUAAAGAAAGGCCACUGAGCCAGAGUGUGCCCUAAGAAAUAGCAGCUGGGAGCAGGAAUUCCCAGGUCUUGAGAAAAGUGCACUCCCCUCAUGGCAAACCCAGGUGUUAGCCCUGGGUGAAGACAGUGACUAGGGGAGAUGGGUUUUCUGACCACCUCCCCCAACCCAGGAUAACUGUGGGAGUGAAAGAGAAACCCACUCAGUUCUUGGACACAGGGGCUCUACACUUGGUCUUCAGAGCCAAUGGCGCUGUUUCCAAGAAAAGAUCUUAGAUCUAAGAAGCCCCUAGCACCAAACUGUAUUCAUGGACUACCCGAAGAACAGCAGACCUAGGGCUGGGAUUCAUUCAUAGCCUAUUCAUUUAGGGUCACCCCAGGCUGUUCCUACUCUCUGUUGGAGUAAGACAGACAUAACGCUCCAAAUUGGGGAAGGGGCAGAUAUGCUUCCUGCACAAUGGGCUGCAGCUUACUGGCCCCAAAAGAGAGACUAACCCCUCCUGAAAGUUGCUACAGACCGGAGCAGUUUUCUCCAUGAUGGAAGCAGGUGCUGCUAUGGUGGAUGGCACAAAUGUCAUCUGGGUAGAAGAAUCUUUACCCCCUGGCAUGUCAACGCAGAAAGUGGAGCUCAUUGCCCUCACCAAGACCUUGGAACUUGGAACCAGCAAGAAAAUCAACACCCACACGGAUAACAGGUAUGCCUUUGCCACGGCCCAUGUCCACAGGGAUAUAUGCCAAGAGGACUGCUCACAUCAGAGGAAACCAACAGGAAAUCUUGGACCUCUCAGAUGUCCUAAUGAAGUCAGCCACUGUGAGUAUUCACUGCCCAGGACAUGCAAAGGGAAAAGACUCAAUGGGCAAUAGCCAGACAGAGCAAGUAGCUCCAGGAAUGGAUAUGCAGGAGCCUAUACUGAUUAUGUGUCUGUAAGAGACACCCAUUGGGAAAUGGGACAAAAUUAAGGAACAGCCUCACUUAAAAAAGGACUGAGAUUGCUAGUCGCCCUAUGAACUAUUACCAAGAGAGGGUGCACACAAGAAGGGAGAACUAUACUCCCCAGAAAUUAAGCCAAAGACUCACCUGGCCAAAUGCACAGAUGGACUCAUUUAGGGGAUUAAAAACUGUCCUGGCAGUCAAGGGACCAAACGUAUAUAUUUAUGACUCAGGUUUUAUGCUAAAAAGAUAAUAGAACAGUGUAAGAUAUGCCAGCAAGUAAAUGCUUAUGCAGUAAAGAGUAAACAGGGCAAAAGACCUAGAAGAGAACAGCCUAGAAUAUAUUAAGAGAUUUUAUAAAAAGGCAGGAGAAUAUGGUAUAGAUACUUUGCUCUAGAUGGGUUGAAGCAGGAAACAGCUACCAAGGUUAGAAGAAAUUUCAGAGUGCCCAAGGUAAUUGGAUCAGAUAAUGGUUCUGUUUUUGUUUCUAAGGUAAGUCAGAAAUUGACAGAGAUAUUGGGGACUAAUUGGAAACAUUAUUGGACGUACUGUCCCCAGGGAUCAAGGCAGAUAGAGAGAAUAAACAAAACCCUAUGAGAGACCUUAACUAAAUUGGCCUUGGAGACUGGUUCAGGCUGAGUGGUACCUCUCCCCUUGUUUCUGAAGAGCCCCUACCAUUUUAACCUGACCCCUCUAGAUAUCUUCUUUGAUACCCCAACUCCUUUGGUGUUCACUGGGCCCUCCCAGGAGGUGUCCCACAAUAUGAGAUUUGCUUAAAAGCUCCAGGCAUGCUAGAGACUCCUCACUGCUUCCAGAUAGGUGACUGGAUCUGUAUAAGAAGGCUUCAGGAACUGUUGCUGAAACCCUGAUUAAAAAAAAAAAAAACCCUCACCAAAUUAACCACAGAGACUGGUAUUAAUGAUAGCUCUCCUACCCUUUUUGCUUCAGGCUUUUGUUCUCUAGGCUCAAGGCCCUUGAGUGGGUGAGACAGCAAGUGUGGAAGCAGCUCCGGGAGGCCCACUCAAGAAAAAGAGACUUGCAAGUUCCACAUCGAUUCCAAUUUGGAGAUUCGGUCUACGUUAGACGCUACUCGCAGAAAAUCUUAAGUCUCGGUGGAAAAGCCCUUAUCUUGUACUCUUGACCAUCCUGCUUUCUGUUUUGAUGAGACUCUUUGUAAUUUUACUCCUUUUGCUUACAAUUGGAACCUGUGUGACUAACCGGUUAAUAGCUUUUAUUAGAGAAACGUAUAAGUGCUGUGCAGAUUCUUAUGCUAUGCCAACUAUCAGAGAUUAGGGCAGGACAAUCCAGAAUAUAUAGUCAGAGAUUUAGUUCUAUAGUUCUAAGAUUAGAACUUACAAGAAAAGAACUGGGGAAUGAAAGGAUAGAAAAUAAUACAGCCUAACUCUAACGACCCCAAGAAAUCAGUAGUUUAAAAUGCUAUCUCGCUUUGUUAGAAACUAGGUAAAAGUUUCACAUUCCAGAGCCUGGCCUUUGUUUAGACCUAGCAGAAAGGCCUUGAAUAGGUGAUCCUAGCCCCAUAGGGUAACUGGAAAUGGGCUAAGCUUCUCUUGCUUCUGUAAACUUACGCCAUUACCCCUAAGCAGGAGUUCACGCAGCUGUAGACAUUAUAGGAAACUAAUUGGUUCACUGAGCGUGGGCUCCAAUAAUUUAAGCUGAUUGGCCUAAAAACUAUGGAGUGGUACAAAUCAAUUGGCUCGCAUUUCGCAGGCUCUCCAUGCUAAGAAAUGAUUGGUUUGUGAUUCGAGGGCUUUGUUGUAAACUUAUAAAAGCUGUCUCAAUUCGGCACUCGGGGUCCAUAGUCCUCUGACCCUGCGUAGUGCACGGCAGCUAUGGAACCCAGAAUUCUGGAAAUAAAAAAAUCCUUAUGCUAUUGCAUGGA